GACGAACGCUGGCGGCGUGCUUAACACAUGCAAGUCGAACGAAAAGGCCCUGCUUUUGUUGGGUGCUCGAGUGGCGAACGGGUGUGUAACACGUGAGUAACCUGCCCUUGACUUUGGGAUAACUUCAGGAAACUGGGGCUAAUACCGGAUAGGAGCACCUGCUGCAUGGUGGGGGUUGGAAAGUGUCGGCGGUGGGGGAUGGACUCGCGGCUUAUCAGCUUGUUGGUGUGGUAGUGGCUUAGCAAGGCUUGGACGGGAAGAGGGCCUGGGAGGGUAACCGGCCACAUUGGAAUGGAGAUGCGGCCCAGACUCCUACGGGAGGCGGCGGUGCGGUAUAGUACACAGUAGGCGGAAGCCUGAUGCAGCAAAGCCGCGUGCGGGAUGACGGGCAUGGAGUUGUAUAGCGCUUUCGCCUGUGAGGAGGAGUGAGUGACGGUAAUGGGUGAAGAAGCACCGGCUAACUACGUG
rnacentral:rRNA from 1 species